UUCUGGUUGAUCCUGCCAGACCCGACUGCUAUCAGAGUGGGACUAAGCCAUGCGAGUUAACGUAGCAAUACGUGGCAUACGGCUCAGUAACACGUAGUCAACAUGCCCAGAGGACGCGGAUAACCUCGGGAAACUGAGGAUAAACCGCGAUAGGCCAUGAUUCCUGGAAUGGUUCAUGGCCGAAAUCUAUAUGGCCUUUGGAUUGGACUGCGGCCGAUCAGGCUGUUGGUGAGGUAAUGGCCCACCAAACCUGUUACCGGUACGGGCUCUGAGAGGAGGAGCCCGGAGAUGGGCACUGAGACAAGGGCCCAGGCCCUAUGGGGCGCAGCAGGCGCGAAACCUCUGCAAUAGGCGAAAGCUUGACAGGGUUACUCUGAGUGGUUUCCGUUAAGGAGAUCUUUUGACACCUCUAAAAAUGGUGUAGAAUAAGGGGUGGGCAAGUCUGGUGUCAGCCGCCGCGGUAAUACCAGCACCCCGAGUGGUCGGGACGAUUAUUGGGCCUAAAGCAUCCGUAGCCGGUCCUACAAGUCUUCCGUUAAAUCCACCUGCUUAACAGAUGGGCUGCGGAAGAUACUAUAGGGCUAGGUGGCGGGAGAGGCAAGCGGUACUCAGUGGGUAGGGGUAAAAUCCUCUGAUCCAUUGAAGACCACCAGUGGCGAAGGCGGCUUGCCAGAACGCGCUCGACGGUGAGGGAUGAAAGCUGGGGGAGCAAACCGGAUUAGAUACCCGGGUAGUCCCAGCUGUAAACGAUGCAGACUCGGUGAUGGGUUGGCCUUGUGCCAACCCAGUGCCGCAGGGAAGCCGUUAAGUCUGCCGCCUGGGGAGUACGGUCGCAAGACUGAAACUUAAAGGAAUUGGCGGG
rnacentral:rRNA from 1 species